rnacentral:rRNA from 1 species
GACGAACGCUGGCGGCGUGCUUAACACAUGCAAGUCGAACGGAAAGGCCCUGCUUGCAGGGUGCUCGAGUGGCGAACGGGUGAGUAACACGUGGGUGAUCUGCCCUGCACUUUGGGAUAAGCCUGGGAAACUGGGUCUAAUACCGGAUAUACCCUGCUGGUCGCAUGGCCUGGUGGGGGAAAGUUUUCGGACGGUGUGGGAUGAGCCCGCGGCCUAUCAGCUUGUUGGUGGGGUGAUGGCCUACCAAGGCUGCGACGGGUAGCCGGCCUGAGAGGGU